ACUCCUACGGGAGGCAGCAGUGGGGAAUAUUGGACAAUGGGCGAAAGCCUGAUCCAGCCAUGCCGCGUGUGUGAAGAAGGCCUUUUGGUUGUAAAGCACUUUAGUUGGGGAAGAAAGGGCUGUGGUGAAUAGCCAUGGCAGAUGACGUUACCCAAAGAAUAAGCACCGGCUAACUCUGUGCCAGCAGCCGCGGUAAU
rnacentral:rRNA from 1 species